GUGCCAGCAGCCGCGGUAAUACGUAGGGCGCAAGCGUUGUCCGGAAUUAUUGGGCGUAAAGAGCUCGUAGGCGGUUUGUCGCGUCUGCUGUGAAAGCCCGGGGCUUAACCCCGGGUGUGCAGUGGGUACGGGCAGACUUGAGUGCAGUAGGGGAGACUGGAAUUCCUGGUGUAGCGGUGAAAUGCGCAGAUAUCAGGAGGAACACCGAUGGCGAAGGCAGGUCUCUGGGCUGUUACUGACGCUGAGGAGCGAAAGCAUGGGGAGCGAACAGGAUUAGAUACCCUUGUAGUCC
rnacentral:rRNA from 1 species